GAUUUAUACAUUAUAUUCUCUCUUUAUCAAUCUGCUUAUUUAGGAUAUGUUUUGGCCUUUAAAAACACCACACUGCUACAGUUCAAAGAGAAAAUAGGCUUGCUGAAUUAUAAUAUGAAAAAUCAAAGCACUCCAUACAGGAUGAAAAACAAGCCCUUACCUUACGAUUUGACAAAAAGCAGGUUAAGCUAAACAGCAUUUUAUUCAAAUGAGAUACAAUUCUGCUCUUUAAACUUACAUUCUUCCAGCACGCCAUUAAUAACAGUGCAGAGAACAAUUCAACUAAACAAUUUUCAGAGCUCCUUUGUGCUAAUAUCUUCAGCUGUGAUCAAUAUAACCAUAUGCACUAUGCUGAAUUAUGCAUUUCAGCUAAAGAUAGAAAGGAACGUUCAAAAGCAAGCCCUUAAACACAUGCAGUUCAUUUAAGCAUUAACCAAAUGCAAACUGCAUUUACAUAUCCUUCCCCCACAGAUUCACACAAUCUGAAACUAAUUUGUACCUUGAAUAAAGAGGUGAAUAUUCUCUAAAAAUAAUUUGCCCGUUAGAUGAAUGUCUACGAGAAGCCAGAGAAGCAUCUUCUGGCGACCGGCACUUGAAUCAAGAGAAGGCAAAUGUGUGAGGGGAGUUCAAAGAAAAGUGAAACCAUUUCAAAAUCUGCACC
rnacentral:lncRNA from 1 species